rnacentral:misc_RNA from 1 species
AACAAGGCGUACCUGCGGACCUGCGGAGGGAUCAUUACUGAGUCACGUGCUCAAACAACCCUUCUGUGGACCUGAAAUAAAACCGUUGCCUCGGCGGGCGGUCCCCCCCAAACCAACCCCACGUGGUGGGUUAGGGGAGACCAGACAGUCCGGUACGCUUAAGGCGUCCGGCGCCAGCCGCUGGCCCCAAACAAUUAAACUCUAGUAAUCUUUACCUUCUGAAUUUCAAUAUUUAAAAAU